CACCAGAGAACAAUUUCUUGCCGAAUAAAGCUGUCAAAUUCUAAGCCUGCUACUUCUUCGAGUAUGUCAAAAUUGUGAGCAAAAAAGUUGAAAUUAUAUUGUAAUAUCAAUUAGAUUUAUCAACGGUGCAGUAACAGAUUGAUACAACAAAUUGAGAGCAGAAAACAGAAAAUGUGCUACCCACAUUGGCUUUUACAAGAAUGGGUUUAGAAGUAGCGAUGGAUGCUUGUCCAACAAUCGAGGAUCAUUUCAUAAGUGAAUACACUAUUUGAUGUAAAAUAAACCAAAAUUAUCUUUUUAAAAACGGUAAAAAAGAUGCCAAGUGUGUAUGCUCUAGAAAACACCUCUUAAAUCUAAGAUACUCUUCAUCUAAUUCAACCCAAGUAAUAUCACGAGCCUUCUUAUACCAACUAAAAUGUAACUUUAAUUAUUAAACUAAUAAUUAUUUUAAAUGAAUUAUACUCACAAACACACACACACACACAUAUUAACUACAAAAAUAAUGAUAUCAAAAUAUUUCUUUAACGAUAAUUUGUUUUACUCCAAAUAGUAUAUGUUUACUUACGAAAUGAUAUUUGAUGUUACAAUGUGAUUUCAACUUUUUUGCUUACAAUUUUGGCAUACUCGAGGAAGUAGCAGGUUUAGAAUUUGACAGCUUUACUCGGCAAGGAAUUGUUCUCUGAUGGUCCAGCUGUCAACAUUCUACAAUUAGCAAAGAAGCUGAAACAAAAAAUUAAUUCAAGAAAAGAAUCGGUUCAUCUACAAAAAGCACAUAUAGAAUACAUAAUUUCUUAUAAAGAUAUUAACUACUUAUCUGAU